CGCAGCCGCGGUAAUUCCAGCUCCAAUAGCGUAUAUUAAAGUUGUUGCAGUUAAAAAGCUCGUAGUUGAAUUUCGGGGUUAGUAGGCUGGUCGUGCCACUGGUAUGUACUGGUCUUACUGACUUCUCCUUUCUGAAGAACUGUAAUGCCAUUAAUUUGGUGUUGCAGGGAAUCAGGACUGUUACUUUGAAAAAAUUAGAGUGUUUAAAGCAGGCUAACGCUUGAAUACAUUAGCAUGGAAUAAUGAAAUAGGACGUUCGAUCCUAUUUUGUUGGUUUCUAGGAUUGACGUAAUGAUUAAUAGGGAUAGUUGGGGGCAUUAGUAUUCAAUUGUCAGAGGUGAAAUUCUUGGAUUUAUUGAAGACUAACUACUGCGAAAGCAUUUGCCAAGGAUGUUUUCAUUAAUCAAGAACGAAAGUUAGGGGAUCGAAGACGAUCAGAUACCGUCGUAG
rnacentral:rRNA from 1 species